UAAUGAGCAGCUAGUAGUCUCAUUUAGGGACAUUCACCUGCCUGGGCACAGUGGAGAUGAUUAGAUGAGAACCGGCCCUUUCAGGUUAGUACCCAAGGAUCCACUUUCUAAAAGGAGAGUGCCUGCACAGAUUAAUUUUUGAGCCAAGCUGGUCUUGCAAGGCUGGGUCUCUUCCCUCACUCUGCUCUUACUGCAUCCUCCACUGCAAAGCACCAGGCCGGGACGAGCAGAGGCAGACAUUGAAGCAAGAGUUUCUGGGAGGUGCUCUGUAGCUCCAUUAUCAUGACUGCUGUUUGAACGCUGUACUGUAGAAGGCACAGACUGAGAUGCUGGAUCAACUGCGCAUGCCUGUCUUUGUGACCGGCUGCUAUCGAUCCUUCCGAGCCCGUGUGCCACGCUGGAAAGCUGCAUCUAAGAGUUAAGAUUUACUGGCUUAAAAGCGUGUGUGUCGUGGGAUUGCGCGGUGGCUCAAUUGUGAGAAUUCAAUGUGAACAUCUUUGAAAUGCAGUUUCAAAUCUCCCACACGCUGACAAGAGCCACGUGAACCAUUGUGCAGCACUGCACCCAUUUGACAGAUGAGAGCAUGGAUACCUAACCGGAGCCUGGCAGGUCUUGGACAGCAGAGGCCACCCUGCAUCUGACACCAUCUCUUGUAAUCCAUGACUUCUCUUCCUGCCUCCAUGAAUCUCCAGAUAACAGAUUCCUGCCCUCCUAAAAGAUGGGAACUGACAUCCUAGCAGGCUCCUGGGCGAUGCAGAUGCUGGCAUUCUGGGCACUGCCCUUUGGAAAGCUAUGAUGACCACUGAAGCAGAACAGACCAAAGCAAAGAGGUGGGAAAGUCGCGAGAAGAUACAGGACUGGCUGGGAUACAUCAGGAAGAGGAGCUGCGAUGGAUGGGACUUCAAAUGGAAGUUGGUGAUUAUAUCCGUCCCAGCACCUCCCGCCUUGCAAGAGAGGCCUUAUAAAUCCUGGUCACAAGGAAGGGAAACAGAAGCUCAAGGAAGAGAGAGCCAUGGCUUCCUAGGUGUCAGUGAAGACCCAGACGCUGAAACUAUAACCGCCUAGUUCAGAAACCUAUACUUUGCUUGACCACAAUCCAAGCAGGGGGUGGGGAUGGGAUGUUUUUCUGCAGGGCUGGACAUAGAGUCAGUGUUCAGAGCACAUUGUUGGAGAGAGGAAGGAUGGGUGAGUGAAUAAGUGAAGAAAUGAAUGAGAGAACAGAACCACUUUGAGAGCCUGGAAACCGGGACCUCACGCUCUGUGACCUCACGCUCCAACUUCCCCUCCUCCCCGAGUCUGAUCUGAAAGGUGACCCCCGUUCCUCUCGCCCAGGUGAUAAAGCCAGGUGCAGGUGCACCUGUUACCCAAACCUGAUAUCCAAAUAGGAAGUAAGGCUGAGAUAAGGCUGUGGAGGGCAGUGCCUGGAAUCACGGGGUUGGGCUGGCCAUUGGCUUGAUGCCACAAGUGUCCACCGAGCCUCUCCUAAAGGUUGAGCUCUAUGCCAGGUUCCUUCAGGGUGAGGCAGGAAGCCACGCAGCUCCUGACCUCCAACAGCUUAUGGAAAAAAAAAAUACUUACAAACAGGAUGUGGGUCGGGCAAAGGGAGAAGUGUGAAGCAGGUGGCCAUUGCUCCCUGACAGCUCCAACAGGGAGUUGGGACUGAGAGAUGAGAAGAAAUGAGGCAGUAGUUAGUGAUGCCAGGGGAGGGGCCUGACCCUUGCACUGCCAUUGCUGAGGAAUAAGAGGUCCUUAAAGUUUAGCUCCUCAGACCCAGACCCCUCCCCAGUCCUCCUAC
rnacentral:lncRNA from 1 species